rnacentral:ribozyme from 1 species
CGGGUCGGUGAAUCCAAGUGGGGCAUGCCCAUGCUCGUCAUUCCCAAGAAAAAUUGCGACAUCCGCACCAUUGAUGACUUUCGUGAACUCAACAAAUUCAUCAAGCG